UACGUAGGGUGCGAGCGUUGUCCGGAAUUAUUGGGCGUAAAGAGCUCGUAGGCGGUCUGUCGCGUCUGCUGUGAAAUCCCGAGGCUCAACCCCGGGCCUGCAGUCGAUGCGGGCAGACUGGAGUACUGCAGGGGAGACUGGAAUUCCUGGUGUAGCGGUGAAAUGCGCAGAUAUCAGGAGGAACACCAAUGGCGAAGGCAGCUCGCUGGGACGGUACUGACGCUGAGACGCGAAAGCGUGGGGAGCAAACAGG
rnacentral:rRNA from 1 species